UAGGGAAUAUUGGACAAUGGGCGAAAGCCUGAUCCAGCCAUGCCGCGUGAGUGAUGAAGGCCUUAGGGUUGUAAAGCUCUUUCGCCAGGGACGAUAAUGACGGUACCUGGAUAAGAAGCCCCGGCUAACUUCGUGCCAGCAGCCGCGGUAAUACGAAGGGGGCUAGCGUUGUUCGGAAUUACUGGGCGUAAAGCGUAUGCAGGCGGAUCGCUAAGUCAGGGGUGAAAUCCCGAGGCUCAACCUCGGAACUGCCUUUGAUACUGACGAUCUUGAGUCCGGGAGAGGUGAGUGGAACUGCGAGUGUAGAGGUGAAAUUCGUAGAUAUUCGCAAGAACACCAGUGGCGAAGGCGGCUCACUGGCCCGGUACUGAUGCUGAGAUACGAAAGCGUGGGGAGCAAACAG
rnacentral:rRNA from 1 species